GUGGGGAAUAUUGGACAAUGGGCGCAAGCCUGAUCCAGCCAUGCCGCGUGAGUGAUGAAGGCCUUAGGGUUGUAAAGCUCUUUCACCGAUGAAGAUAAUGACGGUAGUCGGAGAAGAAGCCCCGGCUAACUUCGUGCCAGCAGCCGCGGUAAUACGAAGGGGGCUAGCGUUGUUCGGAUUUACUGGGCGUAAAGCGCACGUAGGCGGUUUGUUAAGUCAGGGGUGAAAUCCCGGAGCUCAACUCCGGAACUGCCUUUGAUACUGGUAAGCUAGAGUCCGGAAGAGGUAAGUGGAACUCCUAGUGUAGAGGUGGAAUUCGUAGAUAUUAGGAAGAACACCAGUGGCGAAGGCGGCUUACUGGUCCGGAACUGACGCUGAGGUGCGAAAGCGUGGGGAGCAAACAGGAUUAGAAACCCUAGUAGUCC
rnacentral:rRNA from 1 species